rnacentral:rRNA from 1 species
GUUGUAUAGGUUAAGUUAAUAAGGGCGCGUGGUGGAUGCCUUGGCACUAGGAGCCGAUGAAGGACGUGACUAACUACGAUAAGCUUUGGUGAGCGGUAAGUACGCUAUGACCCAGAGAUUUCCGAAUGGGGAAACCCAACUCGAAAAGAGUUGUCGCUAUCUGAAUACAUAGGAUAGACGACGGAAUACGCUGUGAACUGAAACAUCUCAUUAGCAGCAGGAGCAGAAAGAAAAAUCGAUUCCCUAAGUAGCGGCGAGCGAACGGGGAAGAGCCCAAACCAACGUGCUUGCAUGUUGGGGUUGUAGGACUGAUAAAUAAGAGUUACAAAAGUGUUUUAUAGCAGAACAAGUUGGGAAGCUUGGCGAAACAGGGUGAUAGCCCCGUAAGCGAAAUAGAGCACACUCUUUUCAGGAUCCUGAGUACGGCCGGACACGUGAAAUCCGGUCGGAAUCUGCGGGGACCAUCCCGUAAGGCUAAAUACUCCCUAGUGACCGAUAGUGAACCAGUACCGUGAGGGAAAGGUGAAAAGCACCCCGGAAGGGGAGUGAAAUAGUUCCUGAAACCACGACGCCUACAAGAAGUCAGAGCCCGUUAAUGGGUGAUGGCGUGCCUUUUGUAGAAUGAACCGGCGAGUUACGGUAUCGUGCGAGGUUAAGGUGGAAAGACCGGAGCCGCAGCGAAAGCGAGUGUGAAUAGCGCGAAUAGUACGAUGCUGUAGACCCGAAACCAGGUGACCUACCCAUGGUCAGGAUGAAGGUGAGGUAAAACUUACUGGAGGUCCGAACCGGUGCAUGUUAAAAAAUGCUCGGAUGAACUGUGGGUAGCGGUGAAAUUCCAAACGAACUUGGAGAUAGCUGGUUCUCUCCGAAAUAGCUUUAGGGCUAGCCUCAUUAUAAGCAUACUGGAGGUAGAGCACUGUUAAGCCUAGGGGCCCAUCUCGGGUUACCAAAGUUUGAUAAACUCCGAAUGCCAGAUAUGUAUGAAUGGGAGUCAGACGAUGAGUGAUAAGAUCCACCGUCGAAAGGGGAACAGCCCAGAUCGCCAGUUAAGGUCCCUAAAUAUAUGUUAAGUGGAAAACGAUGUGAUAGUGCAUAGACAACUAGGAUGUUGGCUUAGAAGCAGCCACCAUUUAAAGAGUGCGUAAUAGCUCACUAGUCGAGUGCCAUUGCGCGGAAAAUGUACCGGGGCUAAACAUAUUACCGAAACUGCGGGUGCACGUAAGUGCGCGAUAGGAGAGCGUUGUAAGGGCGACGAAGGUAGACCGUGAGGACUGCUGGAGCGCUUACAAGUGAGAAUGCCGGUAUGAGUAGCGAAAGACAGGUGAGAAUCCUGUCCACCGAAUGACUAAGGUUUCCUGGGGAAGGCUCGUCCACCCAGGGUUAGUCGGGACCUAAGGCGAGGCUGAGAAGCGUAGUCGAUGGAUAACAGGUUGAGAUUCCUGUACCAGUAGUAAUGCGUUUGACCGAUGGAGGGACGCAGGAGGCUACCAGAUGCGCACUGAUGGAUAUGUGCGUGCAAGCAGUAAGUUUUGUAGAGAGUGAAAUGCUUUCUACUAUAAGGACAAGCUGUGAUGCGGAUCGAAAUAAAGUAGAGAAGUCUGAGAUGUCACACUGCCGAGAAAAGCUUCUAGGAAGUAUUACACUGCCCGUACCGCAAACCGACACAGGUAGUCGAGUGGAGAACACUAAGGUGAGCGAGAGAACCCUCGUUAAGGAACUCGGCAAAAUGACCCCGUAACUUCGGGAGAAGGGGUGCUCAUGGCAACAUGAGCCGCAGUGAAUAGGCCCAGGCGACUGUUUAUCAAAAACACAGGUUUCUGCAAAAUCGUAAGAUGAAGUAUAGGGGCUGACGCCUGCCCGGUGCUGGAAGGUUAAAAGGAGUGCUUAGCUUCGGCGAAGGUAUGAAUUGAAGCCCCAGUAAACGGCGGCCGUAACUAUAACGG